AGGGAAAAUGUGGUAGAUAAAUUUUGUGCCUGACAAAUAACUUUCAGUUGAAACAGAAGAGGAUAUUGUUUCUCCAUUUUGUGGAGAAACUUUCAAGUGAUUUCAUAAAAACAUUUGACUUGGACUAAAGCAACUUCCUAGCUGUUUCCACUAAUUUCUUAGUAUUCUUUUAACCUUGUUGCUCUGCAUGUUUUUUUUUGAAAACUUUUCUCACAUUAUCUUGUUUGUCAAUUAACAUUCUUCCAAAGAGAGAGAGAGAGAGGUCAUGUACAUUUUGUUUCCCUCCUUUUGCAUUUUAAGUGAUGAUUUUAUAGAUCAAGAAAUAGAAAAAAAAUGGAAUCACACUUCUGGAUUGAACUUCUGUCUCAUGCAACUAAAUGCAACCACAACAACAACAUAUCCAGUGAAAUCACUGUCAAAAAGAAUGGAAAGAGGAACCUUAGGCUACAAGCUAAAACAGUAGAAAAAAUGUAGUUGUAAAUUGCUAUAAAAAACUUCUGGGAAGGAAGAAGCUGAAACUUAUUUGAG
rnacentral:lncRNA from 1 species